CACAUACUCCCUUCGUCAGAAAAAGCUUAUCCCUCAAAUGGAUGUAUCUAGCACCAAGUUAGAGCUAGAUACGUCCAUUUGAGGGACAAGCUUGGGACAAGCUUUUUCAGACGGAGGGAGUAUAAU
rfam:Triticum aestivum genome assembly, contig: Triticum_aestivum_CS42_TGACv1_scaffold_130409_2BL